UACGAAGGGGGCUAGCGUUGCUCGGAAUCACUGGGCGUAAAGCGCACGUAGGCGGGUUGUUAAGUCGGGGGUGAAAUCCUGGAGCUCAACUCCAGAACUGCCUUCGAUACUGGCGGCCUUGAGUCCGGGAGAGGUGAGUGGAACUCCGAGUGUAGAGGUGAAAUUCGUAGAUAUUCGGAAGAACACCAGUGGCGAAGGCGGCUCACUGGCCCGGUACUGACGCUGAGGUGCGAAAGCGUGGGGAGCAAACAGG
rnacentral:rRNA from 1 species